rnacentral:rRNA from 1 species
UACGUAGGGGGCUAGCGUUGUCCGGAAUCAUUGGGCGUAAAGCGCGCGUAGGCGGCCCGGUAAGUCCGUUGUAAAAGUCAAAGGCUCAACCUUUGAAUGUCAGUGGAUACUGCCGGGCUAGAGUCCGGAAGAGGCGAGUGGAAUUCCUGGUGUAGCGGUGGAAUGCGCAGAUAUCAGGAGGAACACCAACGGCGAAGGCAGCUCGCUAGGACGGUACUGACGCUGAGACGCGAAAGCGUGGGGAGCAAACAGG